rnacentral:tRNA from 2 species
GCCCGGUUAGCUCAGAUGGUAGAGCAUCAGACUUUUAAUCUGAGGGUCAUGGGUUCGAGCCCCAUAUCGAGCG